UACGAAGGGGGCUAGCGUUGCUCGGAAUCACUGGGCGUAAAGCGCACGUAGGCGGAUCGUUAAGUCGGGGGUGAAAUCCUGGAGCUCAACUCCAGAACUGCCUCCGAUACGGGCGAUCUUGGAGUCCGGGAGAGGUGAGUGGAACUCCGAGUGUAGAGGUGAAAUUCGUAGAUAUUCGGAAGAACACCAGUGGCGAAGGCGGCUCACUGGCCCGGUACUGACGCUGAGGUGCGAAAGCGUGGGGAGCGAACAGG
rnacentral:rRNA from 1 species